ACAUUUUAUCUAUAUAUUUCGAUUUUCCCUGAUCCACCUUGUAUAGAAUCUGGAAAAGGAUUAGUUUCCAUCACUGUCAAUAUGAAUGACCACUCUGUAGAACUACUUACUGUAUGUAUCCUGUAAUUCACUCUGAGGUACAGUGCCAUUUCACUCAAGAAGUAGGGCUUUUAUUUGAAAGUAAGGCUAGUAAAUUCAUUUCAGAAUCAUCUAUUACCGUCGUCAAACAAGGCUUUUACUGUUUGUCGGUAAGACUGCUCUGAAGGACACUGAUAGCAACAGAUGAUUAUUUUAAGCAAAACAGGAACACGUUUCCAGAGAGACCUGUGUGUGAGCCGUCUGAUAAGAGAGGAAGGCAAGCUGGCUGCAUUGUGUUUUCUGUACCUCCUGCUCAGAUACUGUUGAUCUUUUUGACAAAAAAAAAACAUCACUCGCAGUAUAGCAUUGUGAAUAAGCAGAAAUGUUUCGGAACAAUGCGAUCAGAAUUGCUGUUCAGAGGCGGCACCUCAUGAUGUGUGUUUCAGUUCUCUGAAGUUGAAUCUUAUUUCAAGAAAACAAGGGCAUGUUUUUUUUUUCCCCCUACUAAUAAGUUUCACUGCGCCGGUGUGUUUGUUAAACACGCGUUUUAGUUUACCCCGUAACAUCUUCUCCCUAAUGUUCUCAAAUGAUAUUUCCAGUAAGUAUUUACAUACACACAGAACAGAGACUAAUUUCAUUGCUGUUCCCUCACCGCCCCGUCACCGUAGUUACGAAAGAGUAAUGCAGAUACUGUAGCUCUGCGACUGAACACCUCUGUUCCCUGAGCGGGUAGAGUUCGGGCAGGUGCCCUCCACAGCUUGGCAGAUCCCAAAUGUUUUAUAUUCCGUGCCCACUACUACCACGGGGGUUUCGUGUCGUGGGUGGGCCAUGGCGACGUGCCGACUGAGCUCUGGGCUACAUCAUGAGCAGGCAGAAAGGUUUUCUGAAGACAAACCAAGACGCUGCCCAGGACAUCUUGUUUUGGUGCAUAUUAUAUAUUUAUUGAUAAAGCAAAGAUGCAGUUUUGCUCUGCGAAUCUGGAAGAGCCCUUUGUUCUGGCCAGUCUCGUAUCUCUCCUCGAAUCUGAUCUCGGCCGUGUGUUUCACAGCGGGGUCUCUGAACACACUGUUGUUGACAGUGGUCUUCCCAAGCGCAUAUCCAUAAUUGGCAGAGCCAAUUAUAUACAUCUAUGAUGAAACACACAGAAGGCUAUCAGGUUUCAAGAAGCCUUUGGAGUCAAGAGAAUACUUCAGAAAUUGUUUUGUCUUGAAUGUUGUCAACAAAAUAUACAGAGCAUAAUGUUUCUUCUUCAGCAGUAUGGCAGAUGACUGCAAGAAAUGACUUUAUUUGUGUUAAUUGAUGCUCGCCAGAAGAACAAAGACAUUCAUACUUGAUGUAAAACUGCAAAAGAACAAACAUGUAAUGGGUUUGUAAUUAAAUUAUGCCACAUCACACAGCCUGUAACAAGUGAAAUCUAUGCAAGGACUGAAAAGCAGCACUGAAACUAACAUGAUUGCUUAAAGAAGCCAAGCAUUUGAAAUCCCUGUUAA